GUGAGAGCUCACCAAGAGGUCCACGCUGUAGUUGGCUGUGUCUCAAUGUCCAACAGCUCGUCUCCCUCCCUUGACUUGUGGCCUGUCAUGGGCUCAAUGAAGGCAUUUACCCCAGUGCAGGGUGGCGCUGGAUCCCUCAAGUGCUUGCAUGGCGGUUGAAGGGCUACCCUGAAGCAUUUGGACAAAGCUGAGCUUGUCUCUAAUCUUCUGGACUAAUCACCAUGUAGCUAGUGGGACCACUGAGGAAUCCACAUCUCUUGAAUGGGGAGGCUUAUCCAAGAACGGAAUGGCUUCUUGGGUCAGUCGGCAGUUUUGCACGUUGAUCCCUUCUGGAGGCGCACACAUGAUCCCUGACUGGGAACCAGUGGCUUUGGUGUGCCCUUAGUGGUGUUCAACUGAAGUGUCAGGCCAUGGACCCUGUGCAUAUUCUGGUGUGACCGUUCAACUGGAGUUUCAGGCCAUGGAUCCUGUGCAUAUUCUGAAUUCAUGGAUGCUGCGGUUGUAACCUUAACUGAACACAGCUGAGAAGGUAUGUGGUAAUCUUUUGCUUAUGUGAUGAGUUUGUUACUGUCCCAGUCUGAUUUUUAGUGACUGACCUGGUACAGUCUCUGAUACAAAAUGCAUUAUGGAAUGAUUCAUUUUCAUUUCCCUCAAGUGCUUCACUAAUUUCUUCCCCAUUUUUUGAGCUACAUGUUUUGACUCCAGCUUCACUACAGCUCUGGCCCUAUGCAUCUAGAAAAGGUUUGAAUAAAUAUACUUCAAGGAAUCCAUACUUUCUCUAUGGAUAUGUGAUGAGCAUGUUAACGCCCCAGUCUGGUGACUGACUGGUAUCUUCUGAUUUCUGAUUAGGGACAGCACCUACCCACCAGCCAUUCGCUACUUGAACUUGAAUAUGCACUAGCACUUAACAGCCACCCCACUGCCUGGCCUUCGACCUCUUGCCUACCUUGCACUAUGUACUGUGUUGUGUCUUAUUGCACUUUUCAAUGUUGUAUAUGUAAUCCCCUGUUUAUUUAUGGCCCCUCUUGUUUUCUUGUCUUUUGUCUUAGCUAUGUGUAUUUAAAAUGUGAGCAAACCAAAAGACAUUCCUAGCAACUAUGUUAUACUGUUGAUUUGGCUAUAAUGAACUUGAACUUGAACCAAUAAAGCGUACUGAAUCAAAUGUU